rnacentral:rRNA from 1 species
CCCUUAGAUGUUCUGGGCUGCACGCGCGCUACACUGAUGCAUCCAACAAGUUUUCUCCCUUGUUCGGUAGGACUGGGUAAUCUUUUGAGUAUGCAUCGUGAAGGGGAUAGAUUAUUGCAAUUAUUAAUCUUCAACGAGGAAUUCCUAGUAAGCGCGAGUCAUCAACUUGCGUUGAUUACGUCCCUGCCCUUUGUACACACCGCCCGUCGCUACUACCGAUUGAAUGGUUUAGUGAGGCCUUCGGAUCCGCGACUCGUUUUGUGGAGAAGUUGGACAAACUCAGUCAUUUAGAGGAAGUAAAAGUCGUAACA